rnacentral:rRNA from 1 species
GACGAACGCUGGCGGCGUGCCUAAUACAUGCAAGUUGAGCGCUGAAGGUUGGUACUUGUACCGACUGGAUGAGCAGCGAACGGGUGAGUAACGCGUGGGGAAUCUGCCUUUGAGCGGGGGACAACAUUUGGAAACGAAUGCUAAUACCGCAUAAAAACUCUAAACACAAGUUUUAAGUUUGAAAGAUGCAAUUGCAUCACUCAAAGAUGAUCCCGCGUUGUAUUAGCUAGUUGGUGAGGUAAAGGCUCACCAAGGCGAUGAUACAUAGCCGACCUGAGAGGGUGAUCGGCCACAUUGGGACUGAGACACGGCCCAAACUCCUACGGGAGGCAGCAGUAGGGAAUCUUCGGCAAUGGACGAAAGUCUGACCGAGCAACGCCGCGUGAGUGAAGAAGGUUUUCGGAUCGUAAAACUCUGUUGGUAGAGAAGAACGUUGGUGAGAGUGGAAAGCUCAUCAAGUGACGGUAACUACCCAGAAAGGGACGGCUAACUACGUG